rnacentral:rRNA from 1 species
UACGAAGGGUGCAAGCGUUAAUCGGAAUUACUGGGCGUAAAGCGUGCGUAGGUGGUUCGUUAAGUCUGUCGUGAAAGCCCCGGGCUCAACCUGGGAAUGGCGAUGGAUACUGGCGGGCUAGAGUGCGGUAGAGGAGAGUGGAAUUCCCGGUGUAGCAGUGAAAUGCGUAGAGAUCGGGAGGAACAUCAAGUUGCGAAGGCGGCUCUCUGGACCAGCACUGACACUGAGACACGAAAGCGUGGGGAGCAAACAGG